CUCUGUUUCAAAAUAAAAAUAAAAAGGGCUAAGGAUGUAGGUCAGUGGUAAAGCACAUCUGGGUUCAAUCCCUCAUCUCACAAUAAGUAAUAAAAACAGGGGAGAGUCCUGGGAAGCAGCCUAGAGGUAGAGUGCCCCUGAGUUCAAAUAUUGGUUCUGAAAAAAAAAAAGAAAGAAAGAAAAGACCUGAGGAAGUAGCUCAUCGAUAGAGAGCUUUCUAUCCACAGCACUGCAAUGAAAGAAAAUAAACUGAGUCUUUGCCCUACAUGUUGCAAUUUGGAGUGUGACGAGGCAGCCCAUAAAACAUAAAAACAUCAUUUAUUGCUAGAAGUCAUGACAUUACAAAAACCAAAAUGCAUUUCAUUCUUCACAUUUUAUGUGAAAGAAUAUGCUACUAUGGUCCAAUGCUCCAUUGGUUCAAUGCUCCAUAGCUCCACUGAUUGCCAGUAGCUCAUCUUUCAAAGCUACAAGCAGCUCACCAAGCCCUGAGAAGAAUUAAAGGCAGUCUAAGUGACAAAUGUGUUCACCCAACCAGGACACCAGAAAUGAUCCCUAAUCCAGAUCCCAUUUUAGUUAGCCAAAAUCAAGCUUGCUGAGGCAAAGGCUCUCUCACUGAAGAUGCUAGUCCUGGAAGGCUUCUCCUUGGAUGAGCUGUAAGUUCAACCUUCUGAACUAGUCUCACAUCCCAGGGAAUAUAUAUAAAAUAUCCGGUCAGACAUAUUCUCUGGAGUUGAUGACUGUGCCUGGCACCUUGAUCCCAAUCUCUGCUCUGUGGAUGUUAUCUUGCAGGGUGAGGGAAAAAAUCAUAAUUGACAAACAGUUCCACAUGGGUGCUGUGUAGGUCCCGAUUGGUUAUGUCUGUGCAGGGUAUUUGUUUGUUUGAAACCAGGGAUUGAAUCCAGGGUUGUUUAACCAAUGAGCCAUAUCCUUGGCCCUUUUUAUUUUUAAUUUUUAGGCUGAGGCUCUCUUUGAACUUGUGAUCCUCCUGGCUUGCCCUUCUAAGCUAUUGGGAGUAUAGGCAUGCACCACUGCCCCUGGGAGUCUGUGGUGAGUUACUGUUCUCUCUGAUUGAAUCUGUCAUCCUUAAACAUGAAAAUUAACUAACAACUGAACUUGAAUCUUCUGAGCACAUCCUGUGAGCAUUCAUUAGUUUUCAGUGUGUAUACUGUAUUUAUUGGAUUUGUUUUUCUCCCCUUCAUUCAGAUUUUUGAAGAUUCCCUCCUCUACUACUGUCCCUGAGACACUGAUUAUUAAAGUAAAUCAUUGCAUUGUCUAGUACAUGGGAUAUAUAGAAACUGUAGAAAGCUAAGUAUGAUGGCAUGGGCCCAUAAUCACAGCUCCUCAGGAGGCUGAGCUCAAUGGUAGAGCAACCCUGGAUUCAAUUCUCAGUACUGCAGAGGGAAAAAAGAAAAGGGCAGGGGAAUUGUUGGUAAUAAUCUCAUUGUCAUGAGACAACCAGUAUUGUUAGCAUUGAGUUCUGAGUUGGUGGUUUCUGUUUGCUGGUGUUUCGUUCAAGCUUGGCAUGUAUCUGGAUCCUCAAGACUGGGACAUUGUUGGUGGCAGAGGAGAAUCUCCUGGACAAGGGUCUCACGAAGUUUCUCAGGACCUGGCAGUCUACAGUGGUUGCCUGAAGCUGAUGUGGUAAAUGAACUUGAGCACUCUAUGACCACCACCACUUUAUGCUGGCACAUGUUUCUCCACCACCAGUCCCCAGCAAGUGUGCAAAUGAGGAUGUGGGGAAAAGGUACACUCAUACAUUCUUGGUGGCACUGCAAAUUGGUGCAACCAUUCUGGAAAGCAAU